AACGAACGCUGGCGGCAUGCCUAACACAUGCAAGUCGAACGAGACCUUCGGGUCUAGUGGCGCACGGGUGCGUAACGCGUGGGAAUCUGCCCUUUGGUUCGGAAUAACAGCUGGAAACGACUGCUAAUCCCGGAUGAUGACGAAAGUCCAAAGAUUUAUCGCCAGAGGAUGAGCCCGCGUAGGAUUAGCUAGUUGGUGUGGUAAAGGCGCACCAAGGCGACGAUCCUUAGCUGGUCUGAGAGGAUGAUCAGCCACACUGGGACUGAGACACGGCCCAGACUCCUACGGGAGGCAGCAGUGGGGAAUAUUGGACAAUGGGCGAAAGCCUGAUCCAGCAAUGCCGCGUGAGUGAUGAAGGCCUUAGGGUUGUAAAGCUCUUUUACCCGGGAUGAUAAUGACAGUACCGGGAGAAUAAGCUCCGGCUAACUCCGUGCCAGCCGCCGCGGUAA
rnacentral:rRNA from 1 species